rnacentral:rRNA from 1 species
CAUGCAAGUCGAGCGGAUGACGGGAGCUUGCUCCUUGAUUCAGCGGCGGACGGGUGAGUAAUGCCUAGGAAUCUGCCUGGUAGUGGGGGACAACGUUUCGAAAGGAACGCUAAUACCGCAUACGUCCUACGGGAGAAAGCAGGGGACCUUCGGGCCUUGCGCUAUCAGAUGAGCCUAGGUCGGAUUAGCUAGUUGGUGAGGUAAUGGCUCACCAAGGCGACGAUCCGUAACUGGUCUGAGAGGAUGAUCAGUCACACUGGAACUGAGACACGGUCCAGACUCCUACGGGAGGCAGCAGUGGGGAAUAUUGGACAAUGGGCGAAAGCCUGAUCCAGCCAUGCCGCGUGUGUGAAGAAGGUCUUCGGAUUGUAAAGCACUUUAAGUUGGGAGGAAGGGCAGUAAGUUAAUACCUUGCUGUUUUGACGUUACCGACAGAAUAAGCACCGGCUAACUCUGUGCCAGCAGCCGCGGUAAUACAGAGGGUGCAAGCGUUAAUCGGAAUUACUGGGCGUAAAGCGCGCGUAGGUGGUUCGUUAAGUUGGAUGUGAAAGCCCCGGGCUCAACCUGGGAACUGCAUCCAAAACUGGCGAGCUAUAGUACGGUAGAGGGUGGUGGAAUUUCCUGUGUAGCGGUGAAAUGCGUAGAUAUAGGAAGGAACACCAGUGGCGAAGGCGACCACCUGUACUGAUACUGACACUGAUGUGCGAAAGCGUGGGGAGCAAACACGAGUAGAUACCCCUGGUAGUCCACGCCGUACACGAUGUCAACUAGCCGUUGGAAUCCUUGAGAUUUUAGUGGCGCAGCUAACGCAUUAAGUUGACCGCCUGGGGAGUACGGCCGCAAGGUUAAAACUCAAAUGAAUUGACGGGGGCCCGCACAAGCGGUGGAGCAUGUGGUUUAAUUUGAAGCAACGCGAAGAACCUUACCAGGCCUUGACAUGCAGAGAACUUUCCAGAGAUGGAUUGGUGCCUUCGGGAACUCUGACACAGGUGCUGCAUGGCUGUCGUCAGCUCGUGUCGUGAGAUGUUGGGUUAAGUCCCGUAACGAGCGCAACCCUUGUCCUUAGUUACCAGCACGUUAUGGUGGGCACUCUAAGGAGACUGCCGGUGACAAACCGGAGGAAGGUGGGGAUGACGUCAAGUCAUCAUGGCCCUUACGGCCUGGGCUACACACGUGCUACAAUGGUCGGUACAGAGGGUUGCCAAGCCGCGAGGUGGAGCUAAUCUCACAAAACCGAUCGUAGUCCGGAUCGCAGUCUGCAACUCGACUGCGUGAAGUCGGAAUCGCUAGUAAUCGCGAAUCAGAAUGUCGCGGUGAAUACGUUCCCGGGCCUUGUACACACCGCCCGUCACACCAUGGGAGUGGGUUGCUCCAGAAGUAGUUAGUUUAACUCUCGGGAGG